rnacentral:lncRNA from 1 species
UUCUUUUGGUGCUACAUACCACCUCCCUCACAGCAGUACACCCCCAGUUUGGGCUUGGAAAUGAAUUCAAGGCCCAUACUGUUUGGUUAUUAUUAGUUAAGAUUUGUGUGAUAUUUGUUUAGAUUUAAUUGGUUGAUUAGAGUAAUUCGACUUUAGAAUAGUAAUUGUGUUAAAAUUGAUUUUGAUAUUGUGUUUUAAUUAGGAUAAUUUUGGUUAGAAUUUAAUUAGGAUAAUUGUUUAGAACUUAAUAAAUUUUUGUUCAUUGCUUAGAAUUUUGGAUAUUGUUGUUAAUUGCUUAGAAUGUUGAUAAUCUUGUUAAAUGGUUUAAAAUGUUGAUGAUCUUCUUGAUUGUUUAGAAUGAUUUUGAUUUUGUUAAUUGAUUGAUAUUUAGAAUAA